rnacentral:tRNA from 4 species
CGGGGCAUGGCGCAGCCUGGUAGCGCAUCUGCUUUGGGAGCAGAGGGUCGGGAGUUCGAAUCUCUCUGCCCCGACCA